AACUAAUAAGUCUGGCUGGAUGCUGACGACAACGAAGCGACGAUGCUCUCCUUGCUCUGAUGAUUUCUAGAUUUGGUGUUUCAUUUGAUGAUGGUUCAUGGCUAAACCGGACUGUGCUGCUCUUUCUGAUUUAUAUACUUUAAGAAUUGAAAUUAGUUAAAUGCAUAAUAUGCCUUAUAUUUUGUAUCCAAACAGGCUUAAAAGACGUUAUGGCAGUUUAAGCCAAAAAAAGGAACCAAUUAUUUUUGUUUCAAUAAGAUCUCGCAAAAAGUGGCGAUAUGACAUGGCGGGCGGCUUGGCGACAACCUUGACUUUCGUCAUUAAAUAAUAUUAAAUUAUUUAGUGUUGGCUUAAUUUGCAUUAAUUUUUAAUGUUUGUUUUAGAGUUUUUUUUUUGUAUUGUAUCUU